rnacentral:rRNA from 1 species
AUUGAACGCUGGCGGCAUGCCUUACACAUGCAAGUCGAACGGCAGCACGGGUGCUUGCCCCUGGUGGCGAGUGGCGAACGGGUGAGUAAUACAUCGGAACAUGUCCUGUAGUGGGGGAUAGCCCGGCGAAAGCCGGAUUAAUACCGCAUACGAUCUACGGAUGAAAGCGGGGGACCUUCGGGCCUCGCGCUAUAGGGUUGGCCGAUGGCGGAUUAGCUAGUUGGUGGGGUAAAGGCCUACCAAGGCGACGAUCAGUAGCUGGUCUGAGAGGACGACCAGCCACACUGGGACUGAGACACGGCCCAGACUCCUACGGGAGGCAGCAGUGGGGAAUUUUGGACAAUGGGCGAAAGCCUGAUCCAGCAAUGCCGCGUGUGUGAAGAAGGCCUUCGGGUUGUAAAGCACUUUUGUCCGGAAAGAAAUCCUUGGCCCUAAUACGGUCGGGGGAUGACGGUACCGGAAGAACAAGCACCGGCUAACUACGUG